CUGCCUUUACACCUAUUCAAUAUUGCCAACUGCAUUUGACCUCAGAUUAUACUCUGCUUGCCUUUAUUUGCUUGUUGGCUCUUAGUGUUUGUUUGCAUCUUACUGCCCUAGGAAGCAGAUUCUUUUUAAUCUUACUUAUGAGGCUGGCGGUACACCAUUAGUGUCCUUCAAUACCAUAUCUUAUGUUCUUGAUAAAGUCUAGUUUAAGCAACGUAGGCAGAGAUGUCUAGUUAGGCAAUGUUUGAAUGCCUUUGAUUACUCUUGCACACUUCAUAAUCACUAUAUGUUUACUAUCUCAAGCAUGAUGACACCAACGUGACCCACCACAAUAGACAUACAUAGUUAGCCUGUAUUUAGCUUGUCUUAUAAAGUUUAUAAAUUGUGCUU